rnacentral:misc_RNA from 1 species
AUGAAUACGUUUGUCGGGAAGGGUUGCUGCUGGCCUCCUCGGAGGCAUGUGCGCGCCUCGACCGCAUUCCACCCCUUCACACCUGUGCACAACCGCGGAGGGCGCUGCGAGGCCCCCUCUGCGAAACUUUUCACAAACCCCCUAGUCGUAACAGAACGGUAUUCGUAGUAGUGCGUCUUGCGCAUGAAUAAAUA